rnacentral:lncRNA from 1 species
UAUUCACUCACUAUUGCGCACUAUUGAGCUACUAUUCACUCACUAUUGCGCACUAUUCGGGGUCGCUUUUCGGGGGAUACGAGCACGCGCAGGUGUGUGAUUAGGUAUAUUCCUUAAUUAGGUGUAUUCUCAGGAUCUUUGCGGGUUGGCGAGACCGAAGAUUCAGCCGGUCGUGCUGCUAUGCUUGUGACAGUCCUACUCGGUACUCACCGCAUGCCUCGCUGGCUCGCUUCAGAACCAGGCAAGCCCGGACUGCACCCUCACC